rnacentral:rRNA from 1 species
AUUGAACGCUGGCGGCAGGCCUAACACAUGCAAGUCGAACGGUAGCACAGAGAGCUUGCUCUCGGGUGACGAGUGGCGGACGGGUGAGUAACGUCUGGGAAACUGCCCGAUGGAGGGGGAUCACUACCGGAAACGGUAGCUAAUACCGCAUAACGUCGCAAGCCCAAAGUGGGGGACCUUCGGGCCUCACACCAUCGGAUGUGCCCAGAUGGGAUUAGCUAGUAGGUGGGGUAAUGGCUCACCUAGGCGACGAUCCCUAGCUGGUCUGAGAGGAUGACCAGCCACACUGGAACUGAGACACGGUCCAGACUCCUACGGGAGGCAGCAGUGGGGAAUAUUGCACAAUGGGCGCAAGCCUGAUGCAGCCAUGCCGCGUGUAUGAAGAAGGCCUUCGGGUUGUAAAGUACUUUCAGCGGGGAGGAAGGCGGUGAAGUUAAUAACUUCACCGAUUGACGUUACCCGCAGAAGAAGCACCGGCUAACUCCGUGCCAGCCGCCGCAGUAA